rnacentral:rRNA from 1 species
UAGGGAAUCUUCGGCAAUGGACGAAAGUCUGACCGAGCAACGCCGCGUGAGUGAAGAAGGUUUUCGGAUCGUAAAACUCUGUUGGUAGAGAAGAACGUUGGUGAGAGUGGAAAGCUCAUCAAGUGACGGUAACUACCCAGAAAGGGACGGCUUAACUACGUGCCAC